rnacentral:rRNA from 1 species
GUAGGUGGCAAGCGUUGUCCGGAAUUAUUGGGCGUAAAGCGCGCGCAGGCGGUUCUUUAAGUCUGAUGUGAAAGCCCACGGCUCAACCGUGGAGGGUCAUUGGAAACUGGAGAACUUGAGUACAGAAGAGGAAAGCGGAAUUCCACGUGUAGCGGUGAAGUGCGUAGAGAUGUGGAGGAACACCAGUGGCGAAGGCGGCUUUCUGGUCUGUAACUGACGCUGAGGCGCGAAAGCGUGGGGAGCAACAGGGAUUAGAUACCCUGGUAGUCCACGCCGUAAACGAUGAGUGCUAAGUGUUAGGGGGGUUUCCGCCCCCUUAGUGCUGCAGCUAACGCAUUAAGCACUCCGCCUGGGGAGUACGGCCGCAAGGCUG